CUGCUUUUAGCGGACUCGACGAAAGUUUGGGACACCCGUGGGAGCCGUGGCGCAAAGAGCCCCAAGGCACGAGGAUGGCCAGCCCUAAAGCCGCAGGGCUCUCCUGGGGGAUCACUUGGCUUGCUAUCACUAUCUGUGCUCACCUACAGGUUCCUACAGUCCAAAUUAAACGUUUCACCUCCAAGGACCACGGAGUUGCUAACGUCUGAGAAUAAGAG
rnacentral:lncRNA from 1 species